CGUUGGCUAGCUCAGUGGAAGAGCAGCGCGCUCGAAACGCGUCGGUCGCGGGUUCGACUCCCGCUCCAACUC
rnacentral:tRNA from 1 species